ACCGGAGGGCGGCGGAAGUGGAACUGCGGGGCGGGGCCAGAUCCCCAGGCUGCGGCGGGAGCUGUAGUUCUCGUGCUGGUUGCUGCUUCAGAACGUCUGCCGCCUGAGGGGGACGCUGGUUCGCUGUGUGCUGGCCACGAGUCGCGUUGUCCCUGGAGGAUAGUGGAGAGCGACUGGGUCGUGGUCCUCCUGGCUUUCUUACCGUCACUUUUGUUCUUUACGUCCUGUCUCCGGUUUAGCACCGUGAGGUGCGGCAGGGUUUACUAUUACAGUUAGCCUUAUCAUCCCUCCGGCAUUUUGUGUGAUAAACACUCUGCAGCCACUUCUGCUGACCGAGACAAGUCAAUUUUUGGUCUUUGCGCCUUUGCUAAGAUCCUUUGCGGUGUCUCUCACGUGUGGCGUCUUAGCCGUGUGUGGAAGUCCUACCCGUUCAUAGAACUCGGUUCAGAGGCUCCUGUGACUCCUGGACUCAACCUUUUCAGCUGGAACCGUUCCGUCCUCCCAGUGCCUGCUGGCUGCUCGCACCUGGCUUUAGUCUGGUUUCUUUCUGCUUUGAUUCCUCGUUGCAUUUGCGUGUGCCUCCCAACGUCUCCUCGGAUGGCGACUGGAUUUUGAUUCCUCUUUGUGUUCACCAGAGCUGGAACAGCGUUUUGAAUCGAAUAAUAAUAGAAGCUGACACUGUGAGAAACCCGGCACUGUUGGGAGAGGUUCAGACCUCUGAAGAAAGGAUGUGGUUCCUGCCACAGGAACAGCCCACUGAUGAGUUGCUUCUUUCUUUUGAACUUCUGGCCAUCAUGGUGUAACUGGGACUGGAUUUAUUUUCUCAUCUGAAACAACUGGAAAACGAAAAUAUAUGAAACAGCGGUUUUCAGAUACUGGACAACAGGCAGUACAGGACAGUGAUUCCUGAGAGAAGGAAAAUAAGUACACAAAGGCUGAGGAGAAAUGGAUAAACAUUUGGGGAAAGGAUGAGGAGAAAUCAAAUACAAGGAGGAAAAAGGGAAGCAAGAGCAAGAAAAUACUUUUCACAAAACAAGAUACGAAGAGUAUUUGGGAUUUAAGACCAAGUGAAGAUUAUGAGUAAGCACUCAACAGCCCUGAAAAGUACCAGAAGUCUUCCUAAAUUUCCUGCCAAGUAGCUCAAAAAACUGGCUGUGCAUUAGAAUCUUCAGGGGAGCCUGUUAAAGCCACAGAGACCAGGCCUAUACUCUAGACCUGAUGAAUCAGAAUUUCAUGGGUGUGAACUCUGAGGAUCUGCAUUUGAAGAAAGCUCUGUCACAGAUCUUCAGAUUGAGAUGAACUAUGCUUGAGGAACUGAAAUUAAGGCAGAUGACCCCAAGAAGUCUCAUCUGUACUUGGACCUAAGUUAGAUGACAGGAUCCUGCAUUUCAAGCCUGAAGCUGAUGUCAUAAUAUGACAAGACAUCUAAUGUUGGAAGGGCACACGGAUGAGUGUUUUUUACAGGUAUGAAGCCUGAUACCAUCUUCACAUCAACAAUGACCAUGUUGGAGCUGGGUCGUUCCCCAGUAUAACUAUGAAGUCAAGGCAUAGGGACAAGGCAGUCAAACAAAAUUCUUUGGAAUUCAUUCAAGACGGAAGUCUCUCCUCUUUUAUUUCUACCGUUCCUCAUCCCUGGCUACCACUCAGCUUUGCCAUCUACUCUAUUUUCUUCUGCUAUAGUUGUUUGGAAAACUCAUUAUGAAUGCAUACUCUGCAGUUCAAAUGGAAUUCUUGAGACUUGUUCUCCCAUUUGUGGCAUUGCCUGAACCCUGGCAGUCUCACCUGGAGGUACACACAUCCCGACCCUGACACUGCCAUGCUGUACUCCCCUGGAACCUCUGGCAAAGCGACCUCCUGCAGCAAUAGGCGAUUGCCUUCAUCUACUUGGAAUUCUUCAGAGAAGGUCUCUGAAGACUUGAUGGUGACUGUAGCUGCUUUCUCCCUUUUAGUGAAAGUUGCUGCUCCAUACUUGGAGAGCGCUUGGAGAGCUACCACUGUAUCCUGAAAAAAGAUGGGUUCAGAAAGCACAGGAGAGGAAGACACAGUGAGAUUCUUCAUUCUUUUCUACUGGGAUGGCCAAGAAGGCAGGAGAGACCUCCAGCUGCACGCUGACCUGUCCCCCAUUCCCACCCACAAAUUUGAGAAAGAACACAGGGAAAAGGGUCGAGGGUAGCUUCCUACUUUCUGUUAUUUUAAGUAUCUCAGGACCAAAUUAGAAAAAGAAGAUUGCAUUGUUUAGCUGUGAGAUAAAUGAACUGUGAAUCUAAAUAACUACCAGAAAAGAGCGGAGCAGAACGGAAAGGAUCAGGAACCAAUGAUCACACCAGAAUUAUAGAGGAGAAUUCAAAUCCUUUUAUGAACUCAAUUCUGGGCAACACACAACUUACUCGAGUGCCACCAAGUCCCAGAUCCAGGUCUCAGGGAAAUACUUCCGGACUGUCUCUUUCACUUCCACAGCUGGAGGGUUUUCUCUCCCUACCACUGGAUAAGCUAUCCCUGCAUUUCCACGUGCUAGAGCAGAGCCUUCUGGGCCCAUUGGACCCACUUGACCUGUCGAGAGAAAACACGCAGGGCCCAACAUAAGCCUCAAUUUUAUCAAUUUCUUACAGCUGCCUUAUUUAUCAAGUAGAAUAAGAUCAUAUGCUCAGGGAAUGUUUAUUAUUAGAACAAUUUAACCUACCGGCUUCUUACUUUGUUCACUCAUCUAUGUGUCCUAUUGGAAGGCUAAAUCCUAUUGCUUCAUCAAAUGGUUUAAAGGUAACUGUAUUUUUCUCUAGAAGUGAAAACAAAUGUAGCUCUCCCUAAGCUGAGUUUUCAACUGGUGAAGGCAAAAAUAAAGAGUAAUUUAAAACAACAAAUACUGCUUAUACCCUGACGGGAUGAUCAUGUGUUCUCCAUUUGCAGUGAGAAUCAAACAAGAGGAAUUGAUAGUAGCUACAGCAAGAGGAUUUCAGGAAUUUUUUUUAACAGUUAAUAAGAUAUGAAGACAUAAACAAUGAUAUAGUAAAGUAUGGGUUAUAGACAACAGAGACUCAAUAAAGGACAGAAAAUGAACUUUAGAUUGGCCAGAAAAGACUUUACAAAGCAGAACUUAAGAAGACCAUGAAAGGAUGAGAAUCACAGGGGAAUGAAGAAGGCAUUCCAAGGAGGGGCAUUUAACAUAGCUGAGUAAAUAGUAGGUGUAAUUAUGUAAUAAAACACCAUGAAGGUUAGGACAAAUAAGUUAGAUCUGUUAAGGAGGCAGGAGUUAGGCUGAUUUUUAAAAGUGAUAAAAGCAACUAUACUCCAAUAAAAAUUAAUUUUUUAAAAAACUGACCUGCCAGAGAUCAGAAGACAUAUAAAGAUAGUAUGUAUAAAUAUAUAAAUAUAAACAUACAUAAAAUAAUAGCAUUGAACAUGCUCUUUUAAAACUUUAAAUAUGAUGACCUAUGAAUUCUGGAAGUAGCGAUUAUGUCUGAGAAAUAAAUGACAUGACAGAAGCAAUGUUGAAGGGUGAUGCGCCUUUCACGGUAUAGAGGCUGGAUUGAAGUGGAGAAAGAUGGAAGGCAAGGAAGGUAAAUUAUAGUGGCUUUUUAGUACUUUGGUUAUGAAACAAUGAAGGACAGGACUAAGGUGAUGUAACUGAACAGGAAAAGGAAAGAAUGGAUAGGUGACGAAUACCAAAUGUAAAAUUUGUCUAAAGUGUUACAGAAUAUCUGUGAUAAGAAUGUAAUGAUGGUAGUUUGUUUUCAGAUUUUUCUGGAUCAUUCCACCUACAUGUUUUCACUUAAGAUUGAAAAGAAAAUAAUACAGUUGGUAUUAAGAGGGAUGUGAAAAUAAAGUAAUAAUAAUGUUUUUUAGUUUUUUUUAACCAAAAAACACUGUUAUAUGGAAUCAUGAUUAUGUUUUUUUAAAUUUAUGCUCAUGAUACCUCAGUGAUUUUGGUGUUGUCAUUCUGACUUUCAGCUGAGCCUCAAAAAUGUUAAAUGAGUCUGCAAAAUUUUUUUUUUUUUGCCACACCACGUGGCAUGUGGGAUCCUUAGUUCCCCAACCAGAGAU